AGAGUCUGAUCAUGGCUCAGGAUGAACGCUGGCGGCGUGCCUAAAACAUGCAAGUCGAACGGUGGUAGCAAUACUACAGUGGCGAACGGCGGAGUAAUACGUGAACAACGUGCCCCAAAGACUGGGAUAGUCACUGGAAACGGUGGGUAAUACCGGAUGUGGCGCUUUUCUCUCCUGGGAGAAGCGUUAAAUGGUUUUUCGCUUUGGGAGCGGUUCACGGCCUAUCAGGUAGUUGGUGGGGUAAUGGCCUACCAAGCCGACGACGGGUAGCGGGUCUGAGAGGAUGAUCCGCUCGAGUGGGACUGAGACACGGCCCACACACCUACGGGUGGCAGCAGUUGGGAAUCUUGCACAAUGGGGGAAACCCUGAUGCAGCGACGCCGCGUGGAGGAUGAAGGGUCUAGGCCUGUAAACUCCUUUUAUGGGGAAAGACUUAGGACGGUACCCCAUGAAUAAGGACCGGCUAACUACGUGCCAGCAGCCGCGGUAAGACGUAGGGUCCAAGCGUUAUCCGGAUUUACUGGGCGUUAAGCGCGCGUAGGCGGUCUGUUAAGUGCACAAGUGAAAGCUCCGGGCUCAACUCGGAAAUUGCUUUGCAUACUGGCAGGCUGGAGGGACGCAGAGGUCUGUGGAAUUCCUGGUGUAACGGUGAAAUGUGUUGAUAUCAGGAGGAACACCCAUGGCGAAGGCAGCAGACUGGGCGUUUCCUGACGCUGAGGCGCGAAAGCGUGGGUAGCAAACAGGAUUAGAUACCCUGGUAGUCCACGCUGUAAACGUUGGGCGCUAGGUGUGGGGACCUUCCACGGUUUCCGCGCCGUAGCUAACGCAUUAAGCGCCCCGCCUGGGGAGUACGGCCGCAAGGCUAAAACUCAAAGGAAUUGACGGGGGCCCGCACAAGCGGCGGAGCAUGUUGCUUAAUUCGACGCAACGCGAAGAACCUUACCAAGGCUUGACAUUGCCCGGAAACACUCAGAGAUGGGUGCCUCUUCGGAUCGGGUGACAGGUGGUGCAUGGCUGUCGUCAGCUCGUGUCGUGAGAUGUUGGGUUAAGUCCCGCAACGAGCGCAACCCUUGUUCAAUGUUGCCAGCACGCUCCUUCGGGGGUGGUGGGGACUCAUUGGAGACUGCCGGGGUCAACUCGGAGGAAGGUGGGGAUGACGUCAAGUCAUCAUGCCCCUUAUGUCUUGGGCUGCAAACAUGCUACAAUGGCCGGUACAGAGGGCUGCGAUACCGCAAGGUGGAGCGAAUCCCUAAAAGCCGGUCUCAGUUCGGAUUGGGGUCUGCAACUCGACCCCAUGAAGUCGGAGUCGCUAGUAAUCGCAGAUCAGCAACGCUGCGGUGAAUACGUUCCCGGGCCUUGUACACACCGCCCGUCACGUCACGAAAGUCGGCAACACCCGAAGCCCGUGGCCCAACCAGCUUGCUGGGGGGAGCGGUCGAAGGUGGGGCUGGCGAUUGGGACGAAGUCGUAACAAGGUA
rnacentral:rRNA from 1 species